GACGAACGCUGGCGGCGUGCCUAAUACAUGCAAGUCGAACGCAGUGGGGACGGGUGAGUAACACGUGGGUAACCUCCCAUCAGAGGGGAUAACACUUGGAAACAGGUGCUAAACCGAUACUGAUGGAUGAACCCGCGGUGCAUUAGCUAGUUGGUGAGGUAACGGCUCACCAAGGCCACGAUGCAUUGCCGACCGGAAAGGGUGAUCGCCCACACUGGGACUGAAAAACGGCCCAGACUCCUACGGGAGGAAGAAGUAGGAAAUCUUCGGAAAUGGAGGAAAGCCUGACCGAGAAAGGCGGCGGGAGUGAAGAAGGUUUUCGGAUAGUAAAACUCUGUUGUUAGAGAAGCGGUAUCUAACCAGAAAGCCACGGCUAACUACGUGCCAGCCGCCGAGGUAAUAC
rnacentral:rRNA from 1 species